CCCUUAGAUGUUCUGGGCUGCACGCGCGCUACACUGAUGCGCUCAACGAGUUUACGAACUUGCCCGGAAGGGUUGGUUAAUCUUUUUAAAACGCAUCGUGAUGGGGAUAGAUUAUUGCAAUUAUUAAUCUUCAACGAGGAAUUCCUAGUAAGCGCGAGUCAUCAGCUCGCACUGAUUACGUCCCUGCCCUUUGUACACACCGCCCGUCGCUCCUACCGAUUGAACGUUUUAGUGAGGUACUCGGACUGAGCCUCAGAAGAUUCACGUCUUUUGUGCUGCUCGGGAAGAUUCCCAAACUUGAGCGUUUAGAGGAAGUAAAAGUCGUANCA
rnacentral:rRNA from 1 species